rnacentral:rRNA from 1 species
GACGAACGCUGGCGGCGUGCCUAACACAUGCAAGUCGAACGGGACUUAAUGGAAUGCGGCUUCGGCCAAAGGAAGUUAAGUUUAGUGGCGAACGGGUGAGUAACGCGUGAGGAACCUGCCUUUCAGUGGGGGACAACAGUUGGAAACGACUGCUAAUACCGCAUAACGUAUCGGGAUCGCAUGAUCCUGAUACCAAAGAUUUAUCGCUGAAAGAUGGGCUCGCGUACGAUUAGAUAGUUGGUGAGGUAACGGCUCACCAAGUCGACGAUCGUUAGCCGGACUGAGAGGUUGAACGGCCACACUGGGACUGAGACACGGCCCAGACUCCUACGGGAGGCAGCAGUGAGGAAUAUUGGGCAAUGGGGGAAACCCUGACCCAGCAACGCCGCGUGAAGGAAGAAGGCUUUCGGGUUGUAAACUUCUUUUACCAGGGACGAAGAACGUGACGGUACCUGGAGAAAAAGCAACGGCUAACUACGUG